GCGACAUUAAGAUCACAUUCAUCCGGGAACAGGAUUACUGCGAUUUAGGGCUGGACCCAAUAUAAGACUACACAGAUAUUCGUUCGUUGAUAUCAUACAGGGACAGACACCAGCUGUACAUGUCUGCACUGUUGACAACUUGCGUUUUGGAUUUUUUUUUACCCACGAUUCCGUUUUGCAACAAAAGUAGCUCGGGGCUUUGGGGAUUUUUGAGUCGCGCCUUCUCCAGGAUCGCUCUGGCUCUGGUCAGCUGUCCCACUCUCUCUUCAAGACGAGACAGCAGCAACCACAGGGCCACCGAGUGGGGACACUUUUUCAACUGCAGCAACAAAAAAGUAAUUGAUUACUUUUUUAGAGUUAAGAACCCACAAAACACGUCAAAGUCCAAGUCCCUUGGUUCUAUUGCCUUUUUGGUUAUUAGAACACCUUAACAAAUCCUUGCCCCAAAACACUCUCCCCCCCGCCUCACCCCUUGGUUGUAAGCCUCUCUGGCCUUAUCCAUGUUUUCACACUGCUCUUCGAUCUGGCCUCUCAUCAUCCAAAGUUUUGGGAAGUCUUCGUAGUGUUUCAGGGCCUCUGUGCACAGCUCCUGGGCAGCUUCUAUGUUCCCCAACACCCACUCCAAUUUCACUGACUUCAUAAAUACCUGUAGAGAUUAAAACACACACGCACGCACACACACGCUUUCAGUCAAAGAUUAUGUAUAAACAGGACCCAUGAACUCUCCUAUGAAAUUCCCUUGGGCUUGUCAUAUACUUGGCAUAUACUAAAAUGGCUGAAAAACAAUUUGAAAUGCACAGUUGUCUUAUCUGACAAGACAAUCAGUGCCGCCAACAUUAAAGCAGGUUAUCUCAGUCAUAUCUGUCAGCAAAUACAAUACAGAUAACUGAGGGAGUAUAGUCAGGUCACCUGAUAGAGAAAAUGAUAGUUUAAGAGCACCGCUGACAGCAUAUGUCACCAUGACUACUGUUUUGAUGUGUAGAAACCUGGCAAGCCUGAACCUGAAGACAGCACGUUUGUAGAAGUCAAAUACAAAUACAAUGCACUAUUGACUUACUAUUUGACACUGGCUUUCAAGCCGAAUAUAAUAUUAAUCAAGCCACCCCCUAAAACAAGGAAUGAACUCUAUUCAUACCAAAUUACACAAUGAAAAACAAACUGAGUGUACUGGUACACAGGGUCACAGAAGGGCAGUUAGAGAGUAAAAGGACAGGACAGCUCAAAUACACAAACUAACUUCCCCUUUAAAAGUUAGGGAAAUGUGCAUUUAUUCCAUCAAUCUUUUUCAUUAACAUUUCUUUCUGUCUGUGUUACAAUCCAACAGAUAUCAGAUGAUGAAGGAGGUUUUGAUUAACAAAAAACACUAUAUUAAAAACUAAAUGGGGGAACCAUUUCCCAACUUUUAUCCAAUGGAUUUGUGUAGAUUUCUACUCCUAUUCUGAAUUGCACUAGGGAUGUGAAUAAAUUAUAUAUUUUAUACCAA